rnacentral:rRNA from 1 species
AUUCGCCCUUAGAGUUUGAUUCUCGCUCAGGAUGAACGCUAGCGACAGGCUUAACACAUGCAAGUCGAGGGGCAGCGGGGCGGCAGGCUUGCCUGCCGUUGCCGGCGACCGGCGCACGGGUGAGUAACACGUAUGCAACCUGCCCGUGGCAGGGGGAUAAGCGGGGGAAACCCCGUCUAAUACCGCGUAACGCGGCCUAGGGACAUCCCAAGGCCGCCAAAGGGAGCAAUCCCGGCCACGGAUGGGCAUGCGGCGCAUUAGCUAGUCGGCGGGGUAACGGCCCACCGAGGCGACGAUGCGUAGGGGUUCUGAGAGGAAGGCCCCCCACACUGGUACUGAGACACGGACCAGACUCCUACGGGAGGCAGCAGUGAGGAAUAUUGGUCAAUGGGCGCGAGCCUGAACCAGCCAAGUCGCGUGAGGGAGGACGGCCCUACGGGUUGUAAACCUCUUUUGCCGGGGAGCAACGGGCGCCACGUGUGGCGCCACUGAGAGUACCCGGAGAAAAAGCAUCGGCUAACUCCGUGCCAGCAGCCGCGGUAAUACGGAGGAUGCGAGCGUUAUCCGGAUUUAUUGGGUUUAAAAGGUGCGUAGGCGGAUCGUUAAGUCAGUGGUCAAAUUGAGGGGCUCAACCCCUUCCCGCCA